rnacentral:sRNA from 1 species
AAUUAGCCCUGACAGGAGUGACAUCCUUUUUGAAAAAAAGAUAUAACGGAUGGCAGGAACAUGG